ensembl:snoRNA
CUUGAGGUCUAUCCCCAUGGGGCUUCUCCUGUGGCUGCAUAUCUUUGGAAAUGCUUCACAGCCCAACACUGUGGUUUUAGCUUUCUUCAUAGCUCUAUAUCUUAGGCCUGUGAUAAGGCAGUUACAAGACAUAA